GGCCCUACGGGGCGCAGCAGGCGCGAAACCUCCGCAAUGUGAGAAAUCGCGACGGGGGGAUCCCAAGUGCCAUUCUUAACGGGAUGGCUUUUCAUUAGUGUAAAGAGCUUUUGGAAUAAGAGCUGGGCAAGACCGGUGCCAGCCGCCGCGGUAACACCGGCAGCUCUAGUGGUAGCAAUUUUUAUU
rnacentral:rRNA from 1 species